rnacentral:rRNA from 1 species
CCUACGGGUGGCAGCAGUGGGGAAUAUUGGACAAUGGGGGAAACCCUUAUCCAGCGACGCCGCGUGCGGGAAGAAGGUUUUCGGAUUGUACACCUCUGUCAGUGGGGACGAUAAUGACGGUACCCCCGGAGGAAGCACCGGCUAACUCCGUGCCAGCAGCCGCGGUAAUACGGAGGGUGCGAGCGUUAAUCGGAAUUACUGGGCGUAAAGCGCUCGUAGGCGGUAUGUCAAGUCAAGGGUGAAAUCCCCGCGCUCAACGUGGGAACUGCCUUUGAAACUGGCAAACUGGAGUGUGUGAGAGGAUAGUGGAAUUCCAGGUGUAGGAGUGAAAUCCGUAGAUAUCUGGAGGAACAUCAGUGGCGAAGGCGACUAUCUGGCACAUAACUGACGCUGAGGAGCGAAAGCGUGGGUAGCAAACAGGAUUAGAUACCCCGGUAGUC